rnacentral:rRNA from 1 species
GAUGAACGCUGGCGGCGUGCUUAACACAUGCAAGUCGAACGGAGUGGCGAACGGGUGAGUAACACGUGGGUGAUCUGCCUUGCACUUCGGGAUAAGCUUGGGAAACUGGGUCUAAUCUCCGAUAUUGCAAGAUGAGCUCGCGGCCUAUCAGCUUGUUGGUGGGGUAAUGGCCUACCAAGGCGUCGACGGGUAGCCGGCCUGAGAGGGUGUACGGCCACAUUGGGACUGAGAUACGGCGCAGGGGCGUUCUGGAGGCAGCAGUGGGGAAUAUUGCACAAUGGGCGGAAGCCUGAAGCAGCGACGCCGCGUGGGGGAUGAAGGCCUUCGGGUUGUAAACUCCUUUCGACAGGGACGCGGUACCUGUAUAAGAAGCACCGGCUAACUACGUGCCAGCCGCCGCGGUAAUAC